UGUCCACAUUAAUGAAAAGAGC
rnacentral:miRNA from 1 species